rnacentral:rRNA from 1 species
AGCUUGCUCUCGGGUGACGAGCGGCGGACGGGUGAGUAAUGUCUGGGAAACUGCCUGAUGAAGGGGGAUAACUACUGGAAACGGUAGCUAAUACCGCAUAAUGUCGCAAGACCAAGGUGGGGGACCUUCGGGCCUCAUGCCAUCAGAUGUGCCCAGAUGGGAUUAGCUAGUAGGUGGGGUAACGGCUCACCUAGGCGACGAUCCCUAGCUGGUCUGAAAGGAUGACCAGCCACACUGGAACUGAGACACGGUCCAGACUCCUACGGGAGGCAGCAGUGGGGAAUAUUGCACAAUGGGCGCAAGCCUGAUGCAGCCAUGCCGCGUGUGUGAAGAAGGCCUUCGGGUUGUAAAGCACUUUCAGCGGGGAGGAAGGCGAUAAGGUUAAUAACCUUGUGGAUUGACGUUACCCGCAGAAGAAGCACCGGCUAACUCCGUGCCAGCAGCCGCGGUAAUACGGAGGGUGCAAGCGU